rnacentral:lncRNA from 1 species
CACAGGCUUGUGAGUGUGAAGCCAGGACAUGGGACAGGAAGGGAGUGAAUCAGAGGUGGAGGAGGCUCUGUGUAUGGACAGGAAGCUAUAUUGGUGUCCCUUCGAGGAAUCAUCCUCCUCAUCAUCACCGUUAUCCUGGCUGUCACUCUGGCCAUCAGCAAGGACCACCACCAGCAGCAACAAUCACCAUUGUUGUCAAAGUGGAUACUACGGGGCUAGAUCAGUGGUUCUCAAAAUGUAGUUCUGCACCAGAAGCAUUAGAUUCACUUAGCAACUUGUCAGAAAUCAAGCAAGCCCAGUAGGUGGUUGUGAUGUACAAUGAAUCUUGAACACCACUGUGCUAGACUGUGCCAAGGGCUUUUAAUGUUUUAUCUCAUUUGUUCCUCAGAAUUGCUCUCUGUGAUAAGCACCAUUAUAUUCAUUUUGAGAAAAUUGAGACGUAGUGAGGUUAAGUAACUUCACCAAGGUCACACAGCUUGUAAGGGGUAUAACGAGGUCCUGGAACACAUUUGUUUUACUGCACUGUACCACAUUUUCAGCGGGAGCAAAAUUUGUCUCUGCUUAUCUGCACAAAUUCUCUGAAAAUAAAAGUAAAUUUUCC